AUGGAGCUUUAGACAUAAGGACAUACUAUGUUAAAUACACCCUGUUAAGGGCUUGAACCAUAUAGAAUCUGCCCCACUGUCUUCGGUUGGGGCGACCAUGGGGAACACAAAACCCCCACGCGGAAGGGGAGCACACCCCAAAACUUCUUUCCCUCCCACAAACCAGGGCGACAGCCCUAAUCAGCAGAAAUUCUGACCUAAGUGAUCCGGUAAUACCGAUCAACGAACCA
rnacentral:rRNA from 1 species